GCGCUUGCUUUGGCAGCACAUAUGCUAAAAUGGGAACGGUAAAAAGAUUAGCAUGGCCCCUGCCUGAAGAUGGCAUGCGAAUUCAAGAAGCGCUUCUUUUUUUC
ensembl:snRNA U6 U6 spliceosomal RNA